UCUAUCUCUCUCGAAUAGAGAGAGAGAGAGAGAGUGGGAGAGAUAUAUAUAUGUAUAUAUAUAUAUAUAGUUUCGAUACGAUGACAGCGACAAUGUAGAGAAUUAAUCCGAGUUUUCACCAUCCUGUGUGUAUAAGUAUAAAAAUAAUGAUAACCGAGUAAAAAGAGACAACGAUAAAGAAUGGAUGAUAUAAUAGCGCCGCUAAUUGGACCGAUCCAAAAGACCCAAUGAUUUUUCCAAUAUCCAUUCCAAAUGGCUGGUGCGAUUGAUCUGGCUGGAUUCAAGCUACAACCGGUGUAAGGAAUGAAAACGAAGCAAAGAACGGUGACACAAAAGCCAAAUCUCAGUGGUACUGAAUCAGAAUUUUUUUCAUUUCGUGGAUCCCAAACGCCACAUGCAAAGAAUACCAAUAUACCAGUUGCAAUGAUUUCGCUUAACAAUCCUUGAAAAACACUUAUAUUCUGAUGUAAAUCGGUUUUGCAGAAGGAAAUCGUAUCCUCUGGAUUUCCACCGUGUAACAUACCACUCGGUGUUAUUGCCUGAAAUUCAAAAUUUAUUUAAUGUUAUGCUUGAU